CAACACUCAUUCCAGAACCUGGGUGAGAAAGUGUGUGAUCUACAAACACUCAUGGGGAUAACCUGACAGUUUCAUUUCACCAUGGAAAGGAUCCAGGAGAAGAGACCAUCAGAGUCCAGAUGUGAGUCUCUGCAGGACGAUGGUUCAAAGGACGACUUUAAAGAUGAACCUCAUUCUUUAGAAAAGAACAUCCAGCAGCAGAAACCAGCCUCCAGCUGUGUGUCCAUGCAGAGCGACCGGUCAAAAGGUGGCCUGAUUGAUCUUAAAGACAGACACGUCUCUGUGGAAAGGAGGUGAGUGUAAUGAGCAGCAAAGUGUGGCUGAUUCUCCCAUCCAGACAAUGAAUAAACAUCCCAGUCUGCAUAAUGUUAGUCAUUAGUAUAUAUAAUAUUUCCAUUUGUUGGGUUCUCAUCACUUCCUUUUAAGACUUGGUCCGGCUUCAUCUUUUUUUCAUCUUAUAUGAGUUGAAAUGACAUUUGUAAAUAUGACAUGUUUGUAGUUUUACGUAAAUUUUUGUGGUGGGGGUUGUCAUAUUUUGAAAAAGUUAUGGUUGGAUUAUAAUACUAAAUAAAAAAGAAAUAUGUCAUGAUUAUCUCAACUUAAUAAAAAGAACAUCAUCCGAACUAUUUCUGAAUCAGCUCAUUUUAUUAUUGUUUAGCUCAUUAGAAGGUGGUUGGUAUUAAAUUCAGACAGUUAUUUAGUUGACAUUUUAGUGAUAUCCAGUCAUUUAUUAUUAAUAAGUGAUUGUUUACAUAAUAAAUAAUUAUGGAAUUUGUAAAGACAUGAUCAUAAUGAACAUAAAAACACAUUAGUUUUUAACUUUUAAUAAAAAUGUAUGCAGAUAUAUCCCAUGGACUUCAAAAGUCGGUCAAUUAUAUAUUGACCCGGACAAUUUUUAGUCAUUGUAGACAAUUUUCUUGUCAUUUUCAAAAAGUUUUAUGUCAGCUUGGAUCAUUUCUCGUCAUUUUGGAUCAUUUUUGUGUCUUUGGGAUCAUUUUGAAGUCAUUUAUGACAAAUUU